GAUGAACGCUGGCGGCGUGCCUAAUACAUGCAAGUCGAGCGAACGGACGAGAAGCUUGCUUCUCUGAUGUUAGCGGCGGACGGGUGAGUAACACGUGGAUAACCUACCUAUAAGACUGGGAUAACUUCGGGAAACCGUAGCUAAUACCGGAUAAUAUUUUGAACCGCAUGGUUCAAAAGUGAAAGACGGUCUUGCUGUCACUUAUAGAUGGAUCCGCGCUGCAUUAGCUAGUUGGUAAGGUAACGGCUUACCAAGGCAACGAUGCAUAGCCGACCUGAGAGGGUGAUCGGCCAAACUGGACCUGGAACCCGGUCCAGACUCCUACGGGAGGCAGCAGUAGGGAAUCUUCCGCAAGGGGCGAAAGCCUGACGGAGCAACGCCGCGUGAGUGAUGAAGGUCUUCGGAUCGUAAAACUCUGUUAUUAGGGAGGAAGAUAUGUGUAAGUAACUGUGCACAUCUUGACGGUACCUAAUCAGAAAGCCACGGCUAACUACGUG
rnacentral:rRNA from 1 species